rnacentral:lncRNA from 1 species
CUUCCGAUCGCCUGCCGGCGUGCUACUCCUCUUUAUGGCGUCCUCUUCCUCCUCUGGGAGCGAUGGCGGCGAUGCCUUCGACGCGGAUAUGGAGGCCCUGCGGCGAGCCUGCGCGCUCACUGGCGCCGACCCCGCCGACGUAGGUGGUGCCUACUUGGAUUCUGACUCUGAUUCCGGAAGCGACGAUGCAGGCCUCCUUCGUCGUCUGCAGGAACGGUUCUCUUCGCCCUCCCUAGCCGUCGAUUCCUUUUCCUUGGUCAAGCCCCUGUCUGUUCUCGCGCCGAUGGAUCUUGAUGAUGAGGAUGAUUUCGAAACCCUUCGAGCCAUCCAGCGGAGAUUUACUCAGUACAAUAGCGGUAAGAGUCACCGCCCUUUCGAAUCUGUGGCUGGAUUACUUGUUUUAGAUCUUCUUGUCGGUGAAUAUGCAAUGUGGCGUCGCCGCCCUUGUUUAUAUUAUGAUUACUUGGUAAUUUUUUUAAAAAAUUAAUUCAUUUUUGCGUUUGCCUGAGGCUAUGGUUUACUUUGUAUGUUGGCUAUAUAUCAAGAAGAACAGAGAUUGCGAUGCACCUUACCAAAUGAAUAAUUUCAGUCUGAAAAUCAAACGAACUGCUACAAGCAUUCUUUUGUUAAUUUUAAUGGGACUCUGACCAACCAGACUAAGCACAUCUAUUAUGAGAUUAGUAGAUACUAACUUACGACUCCUACCACAUUUCUAAUUGUCAAGAAAUGAUUACCUCCUAUUAGUGGUGUAAACUGAUGGAUCAGAUUAGGGUGGAUUCAUCUGAUUGCAAGUUGAAUUUGCUGGACGACAACUGUCUGUUAGAAUCAAUAUUUCACUGAUUAUUGGACAGAUCUUUUGAAAAUGUCUAGGUUGGUAAAAUCUGAUAUGAUCAUUGGAAGUUGUCUUUGAAAAAGAUCUAUUAGACUUUUAGUGCUUCAAAUUUAGAACUUUGGCCAUUUGACCUUCAGAUCUGGCUUUUAUCCACAAAAUAACUGGCUCAAAUGUAUCAAAAGCCAUAGGUGUUUUUUCUUCUAUGAUUGGUAACAUGAAGGUCAUACAACCAAGGUCGACCUAAAAGAAUGUGGGCAAUAUCUAUCGGUAGGUUGUCACAGUAAAUUUCAUCUUGGUAAUCGCCCAUUUAGAUUGGUACUAGGCAUCUUUCGAUCAUGAGUAAAGUGGUUUCGUUAACCCAAGCUACUUUUAAUGAGGUCGGAAGGUAGUAGUCUUUUGAUAGCAGAUUUUGAGAUUACGUUCAUAGUGCUACCCAAGGAUUGAAAUAUCGUACCGUACCGGAGUUUCGAUCUUCUCUCGGUAUGGUACGGUAUUGUAUACCGAACGGUAUAUCGNNNNNNNNNNNNNNNNNNNNUUUUAAAAAAAUGUGCGACGUCGUCGACCUAGGCGGGGCGAUGGUGUGCAUAUAUAUAUAUAUAUAUAUAUAUAUAUAUAUAUAAUACUGUUCGGUAGCGAGCGAUCCGCGUAUCGGUUUACUGUCGGACUGGUACGUACCGCUCGUACCGGACGGUAUUAUUCGAAACUAUAUACCUUGAUGCUACCCCCCAUCUAUAACUAAUUUGCAAGUUCUUUCCCCACUUCGGAUGAAAGUAUGUAAGAUACAUGUCCUCUUCCAUUUAUUGCAAUCACUAGUAGUAGAGAGAAUAAUGUGGACAACAUUAACAUGAGCAUCCUUAAUUUCUAGUUCGUUUUCAUCACCUGAGUAGGCUUUGGGUUCAACUACUUAGUCUACUUUUUCGAUUUGAUCCUGUGAUUCUUAUUUUAAGAUAAGGGUACGUUGAGGAUAACGAGAGGCAAUGUGACCUUUAUUAUGACAAUAAUGACAUUAGAUUGAAGACGAACUAGUUUAAGAAUCAAUACUUGAAUGAGUUGGACAAUUCAUGGUUGGGUCAGGAUUGUUGCUAGUUGUGGGAUUUUUUUACUUGACAAAGCCACUACAUGGUGUAGAUUGGGUACUAGUUUAAGAAUCAAUACUUGAAUGAGUUGGACAAUUCAUGGUUGGGUCAGGAUUGUUGCUAGUUGUGGGAUUUUUUUACUUGACAAAGCCACUACAUGGUGUAGAUUGGGUACUAGUUCUGUUGUCAAGAGACUGAGAUGAUACUCGACGAAUUGGAUAAAGUUUGAUAUACUUCUCAAUCUCAAGGGCUCGUCGGGAAGCUUCCUCCAUGGUGUCGGGGAAACUAAGGGAGACUUCCCGUUGGAUCUCAAACCUCAACCCAUUAAUAAAUCUUCGAACAGUGAUGAUUUGUUCUUCUUUUAUUUCACACUUAAGUAAAGUUCCUCAAAUUGGGUCAAAUACUCUACCACAUUAGAAUUCAAUUAUUUAAGAUUUAACAAUUGUUAACCAAUUGGCUUCAAAAGUAGGUUGGUAAAUAUAUAUUUUUUUAAGUUUUUAUUCAUGACUUUCUAUUGAGUGAUGGGAGGCUCUCGACGGUGUUCAAGACUACAUUGGACAUAUUGUCAAUAUUUCCUAGCGGGCUCUACUAGUUUUAUUUUUGCAAAUAAUACACGUUCAAUGUCAAUCAGGUUGUUAAUUGUUGCAAUGCACAAGGUGGAAAUGUAAUAUUCAAAUGGUUCUCACUUUUUUUCCUCACUUUUUGUUUUGUUUUAUUUUUUAUUUUUAGACAACUUUCAAGGGUUCAAAUUCUAGUGGUACUAUAGUUGUAGCUAAUGGGGAGAGAGAGAUGGGGAGAGAGAGGGUGAUAAAUAGGGAAAAAAAAGAGAAAAAAGAGAACCACGAUCUAAUGAAAUAUAUGAAUUUUAUUUUCGAUAAAAAAUAUUAAUAAAGUUUUCAAAAAAUUUACCCAGCACUAAGAGCUAUGUGGUCCACUAAUUUUGUAGGGACAAUCGCCCUAAAGUCCAACUCCACACGUAAGGGGUUGACGUUAGAGGUGUAAGGAUCCUUGAGUGAUCAAAGCUUUCAUUGCUAGUUAGAACCCAAUGGGGUAUAGGGCAAGUUUCUUAAUGGCUCUUAAUGGGCUCUGAUACCAAACUGAUGUAGAAUAAUAGAGUAGGGAAGUAGAGAAAGGGGAAGAGAAAGAAGGAGAAGUGUGAGAUACGAGAGGAAAGUAAGAGACUAGAGAAGAUAUAAUUCUUGUCAUUCCAAUCUGAAGUGUUUGAUCUAUUAACAAGCUCCACUAUUUAUAGGGGUUUAGGAGGUUUGGUACAAUUAACAAAGACAAUGAUUCCCAAUAUUAAUCUCCUAAGGAAUCUAUAUGUCUUUUAGAAAUCCAAAAUGUGACUUCUGGGAUACCUAAAUAGUAAAUGAGUACACUUAAUACAAUAGUACACUUAAUACAAAAGGAGUCCGAUCAAAAGACUUUACAAUUUUCAACACAACUCUUAGAAUUUCUAGGCCAACUAAUAGAUGAAUUUUUUAUUGAUUUUUUUCUUAGAAUAAACUUUAAUGAAAUCCUUUCUAAGGCUAGAUGGUUCUCUAUCACAUUUCUUCAUUACUACUAAAUUACAUGUUUUGUUAGACCGAAUGCAAAACUGGAGCACCCAACCUACAUGAAAAAAAAUCCUUUCUCAUUGAUCCUUUUCAUUGUCUUUUUUUUUUCUCUUUUAUUCUUAUUCUCUCCUUAUCUCUCUUAAUUUUAUACUUGUUUUUCUGCUUUAUGGUUGUUAGAGUUGAUAUUUUUAGUUAUAUUCUUAUUACAUAUGUCACUCAUGUUCUCUCUCUGUUACAAAUUUCCUGCAGAUCCUCUGAGAGAGAAACCUGAGAAAAUUCUAGAAGAACCUGAGAUGGUUGUCAAUGAUGAUGUAUGUGGGCCAGAAACACCUAAUAGAUCUACAGAAUUGAGCAAAGAGCAUGGCUACAGUCACACUGAACCACACUUUCCAGAGCAUGAAGCAUGGAGUUCAAAUGUUAAGGAUUUGACAUCUUCUAAGUUUCCCAAGUCUGCUCACAAUUUUGUUAAUGCUCUUAAGAAGAACAGAUCAUGUCAGAAGUUCAUUAGGAGGAAGCUACUAGAAAUUGAAGCAAAGAUUGAGAAGAAUAAAGAACUGAAGGAACGUAUUAAAUGUCUUAUGGACUUUCAAGUUGCCUGUAAAAGGAAAGUGGCAAAUAUUUUAUAUCAAAAGAAGGAUCCUCGUAUCACGUUAAUAUCUUUGAAGAGGUCCACAUCUGAAAAGUCAUCAAAGGUAGAGAUCUAAUCUGGCAGUUCUACAUUUUGAAAUACAUGUUUGGUAUACAUCCCUUGAUUGUAUUUCUGUAACAUGUAACUAUAGCCUUUACAUGCUCAUAGAUUAUAUAUGGGGGCCUUUCUGUACACCUACUGCCUGUAUGUAUGCAGUGCUAGGAAAAAAAUUUGCUUUCAUAAAUAGCAUGUUUUCAAGCUUAGGCCCAGCUCAGGCUCGGCCAGUUCACAACAAUAAAGAGCCAAAUCUGAAGUUGAAUUAUAUGUAUGUAUGAUUAAUGAGCUGAGUGCAAACAAGCCCAUGAUCGUCAGGUUUGGCCCGACUUGGGUUUGUUCUAACAGAUAUUUAUAUUAUAUAUAUUUACAGCAUUUUCUGAAACAUUAAAUCUCAUCUAAUGGGAUUUAACUGGACCUAAGUGAAAUGUGGGGCUGAGCACUGAUGAUUUAAUAUCUGCUUGUUAGAUUUUAGUUCAAUGAUUUGGGCUUACCCUCAAACCAAUAUAAAGUGACUAAGAGGACAUUUAAUAUAAUAAGUUGCCACAUGACAAUAUCUUAAUGUUUCUAUUUUAGUUUUUUAAAUUGCUCAAGAAUAAGAAAAAUAAAGUGAGUAGAAAAUGGAAUAGUGAUCAACUUUUGAUUUUAAUUGAAGAUUAAAAAUCUUGAUUGAAGAUAUUAUCUUUGCAAGGAAGUUUGAUCGUUUGAUGAGGAUGGAAGUCUAUCAUCUAGAUAUAUCAUUAAAAAAGGUAACUUUUUCACUUAUUAAAUCCAGUGAUUUAAAAAGCGCUAGGCAUCAAAAAGUGCCAAGAUCCCAAAAUGCUCGAGGUGUUAGGUGCUUGCCAAAGUGAAGCGAGACGCUCUAAAAUAUUAAAAUAUAAAAAUAUAUAAUAUAAUUGAUAAAUAUUAUUAGGAGGGAGAGAAAAAUAGCCUUUAAGAGGGAGAGAAAAAGUCAUCGACAGUUGAACUUUUAGACGACAACGAUGGCGACGGAGAAAGCUGUGGAUGGCAACAACAACAGUAGUGAAAGCUGCGGAUGGCAACGACAUGGGCGAAGGAAACUUCAGAGGUGUCCGUUAGUGGCGAAGGAAACUGUAGUCCUCUCCCUCGACGGUGGAAGGAGUUGCACACGGAAGCAACGACGAGGAAGGAAGCUGCGGACAAAGGUUAGGCUGUCGAACACGUUCGUCGACGACAGAGGAAGCCUCGGCCUGCUACGUCUGUGGUGAAGGCAAUGGCAGAAAGCGUUGGUAGCAAAGGCAAAAGCUGCACUAGGGUUGAUGUCUCGAGGUCACGCGAGGGUGCGAGGGAUGGCUUUUGCAAGUAAGAAGCUAGUUGGUUCAAUCGAACCAACUAGCUACUACUUCAUUUGAAUCAAGCGCUUGCCCGAAGCGCCUGGGUUUAGGUGAGUGCCCAGGUGGUACCUCAUUGAAGCGCGCUACCUGGUCCACCAUUGAGGUGCUCGGGCUUCGCCUUGCCUCACCCGAGCACCAGGGCGCCUAUUUAAACCACUGAUCAAAUCUAUAAAAUUAUUUUCUGCGAAGAAGGAUAAAGUAGUUGAUUUAUAUUCAUUUUUUUAAAUUUUGUAUUCUUAUUUUCUUGUAAUUGGGGAGCCUAUAGAAAGGGUAAAGGGAUUGUAAUUGCUUUAUGAAUAAAUGAAUAUGAAUGAAUAAUUAUUUUUUCCACAUUAAGUAUGUGCAAGUGGUGUGAAGCCACAUCUUUAUUCCUGAAGGUGUGAUUCCACUGAUUACAUGUGAGAUGUUUAGAGGUAUGAUUUCAUUCCUGAGAGUUUUUCAUUGAGCCAGAGUCUGAUAGUUUUGUCUAUUAUCUUUUUUAUUAUUCUUUCUUUAUUCUCAAAUUAAAAAAAGAUAAUUUAUAUGCACAUAAUGAACUUGUCCUACUUCAAUCUCUAACCUCAACUGCAGUCUUACAGUGAGCAACUUUGCCACCAUGGAUUAUCCUUCUGAUUGACCACUAGGCAUUGUUGGUUAAUAAGACUGAUAAGGUCACCAGUGAAUUAGAAUUUUUUUUUCUUCCUGUUGGAAUUUUAUAUGACUGUUGUGCUGUCUAUUCAUAAUUUGUUUGGGUUCAGAAUUUACAUAAUGGGAGAAGUUUGGCAAAGACAUUGUUUAAACUAGGUACUGGUAGGAUUUACGGUGCAUUUGUUUGGUUUAACUAUGAUAAGUUUUGAGGAUCAAUUAUUGUGAUUCUUCUUGUACUGUAUGCCAGUAGGCUUCCCUCUUUAUCAUCAAGGACUAGAUGAUGCAUCCUUUGUACAGUGAAAUAAUUCAGUAAUGAAUAAGCUUGUCUUUGUAAAAAAAAAAAGACAAUCCAAGGAACACAAUGAUUAUAAUUAUUUUUUUUGUAUGGUGUUGUAAAUAUAUGAAGCACCACUUGGAAGUCUUAAGCAGACUAGACAUAACUAGAUUAUAUUGUCAUUGAUUAUCUUGCAUCUAUCUUAGUUGUCUUUUUAUUGAUUCUGUAUUUAUGAACAUAAUUAUUACAACUUCCAUAAAGAUGUGGUGCUGGGUGCUACUAAUAAAUUUCUUAUAUACAAUUUUAUUACCAUCAUGUUUUUUAUUACACUAACAUAUAGUUGUUGAAUCCUCAUGGAUGGCGUCAGACAUGCUAUCAGUUCUUUCUUUCUCUAGUUGCUACUUGUUUUCUUCUUUUAAACUGUUAUUGCCUUUAGUUGUUUGUUUUAGAAAUAAAUUUACAUUGGCUGACAAGUAUGUCUGGAUGCAGACGACUUUGAAGAAGGUUCCUGCCUCAUAUAUUGGUCCAAAUGAGAACUCCCAUGUUUCAAAGUAUAAAAUGGUACUUAAAAGAUUUCCCAUCUCACUUAGUAAGCAGCCAUGGUCAAACAUCGAGAAAGAGAAUCUUGUGAAGGGAAUAAAGCAACAGUACCAAGAGAUGCUGAUUUUGAACUCAAUGAAUAUGGAAAGGUAUGUAUUUACUUUGAGGUUGCCUUUCUUCCUAGUUUAUUUUCUGUAUUUGCUCUGAUGACCUUAAAUCUACACGAAGGCUUUCAACCAAAGUAUUCUGCGGGUUGAGGUUACUGGAAAAAUUUUCUUUAACAUUGAUUUUGAGGCAUUUGAACUUUUUCUAAUCAUUUUUAUCUCACAUGCAGUGACGCAGAGGGCAUCACAGAUUCAAAUUUAAUGUCUGCAAUAACACUCAGUGAUCCUGAGUUCACAGCUGAAAAAAUUAGAUCUUUCAUACCAUUAGUAAAUUGGAAUAGGUUGGCUUCAAUGUAUGCCAUGGGCCGUGCUGGUGCAGAAUGUGAAGCAAGGUAUAAUUUUACUUAAAAUGAGGUAUUCUAUAUUUCAGUAUAUUAGCAUCGUUUAUACAUUCUAAUGCUUAUCUGUCAUAUAUUAUUUGCUUAUUAAUGGUUCAAUUUACUUGCAUUGUUUAGCCUUGUACCUUCAAAUGUUGCUUUUCUUUACAAUCCGUUCAAAUAUGUCCUGAUAUAGGCUAUGACAAGACAGGCUUUUGACAAUUUAUCGGACAAUCUAACCUGGAAAUACUUACCGUAGUUGAUUUUGCCAUUCUCCAAUUUCCUUCUCCCGAUACAUUCCACCAUUAGAGUCUGAGUAACAAUACAAAAUUCAAUGACCUGCAUUAAUUUACAAGUUCAACUAGUUGUUGAGAUUGGUAUCAGACCAAAAUUUGAAACCUUUUAUAUAAUUAUAAAGUAUGUAGCAGUUUUCAUAUAAAAAAUGAUAAGAAAAAAUCCACAAGCUUUAGGUUGCUCCUUAAGCCCAAAGCAAGAAGGGUAAUGAAUGGGUGGCAUUGGCAGCAAGCAGGCAGCAUGUAGUUGCGAGCAAACAUAAAGUAGUUUGAACAACAAGGUGAGCAACAAAGUAAAUCCUCAGCUAAUCCCCUCUUCCAGUCACCCCUUCCUCCUUCGAUCACCCAUGUCCACCUCCUCUUUCUUUCUCUUUCCCCUUCCACUUCUUCUCUCAUUUAUCUUCUUUCCCAUUUUAUUCUCUAUUUCUUAAUUCAAUGGAUGGCUACAAUAACACUAUGUUGGAUGAUAAAGAAUCUAUGCCGGAAUUGGCUGGAAUCUAAUCUGGAUCGCUGGAAUCGCCUUAUUAUCUAAAAUCAGCUAAUUCUUGCAACUCUUUUUGAUCAAUAUUGGUCAUUUCCCAACUAUUUGAUAUUUUGCCUGAGGAAUUAGGAUUUUCUUUAUGAGUGGUUGAUCUGGAUCCAAAUAGACUGUUCCAUAUUGGAACUGACUCAAUGUGAGAGCGACGGGAAUAUCAAUUACUUAUUACUUAAGGUUGGUGGAGAAGCCUAAUUGUUUAAAGGUUUUUUACUUCAUAGUUGUGUUCUCUCCUGCAUAUGCAUGUCUAAGUGUUAUGCACUGGAGUAUGUCUCGCCUGAUCUUGAAAUCUGAUGAGGAAGGUCUGAUGCAUGAAUAAGUACCGUGUGACUUUGUCCAGUACAUUGUUUGACAAUAAGAUUGAUGUACAGCUUUUCUAAAGCCCUUUCCUUUGCAGCAAUGUUUAUCCACUAAGAUAGACAAGUCAUUAAGUACUGAUGCUUGUGGUAUUAGCUUUUAAUUAUGACAACAUUGUUCACUAGUGUAGUUAUAAAUUAGUUAAGUGAUUAUUAGUAUGUAGCCAAUCUCUAUGAAAGUUAGAGGCAUGUGUAUCGCUUUGAUCCUAGCCAGCCUGUAUAAUUUUGCUUCCUUUCUUAGAAUUUGGCACUGUAAACUUCCACACUGUGUCAGUCUUGCUAAGAAGCUGUAUUUAGGAGUUUGGAUGGUUGCUACAUGAAGGUAAAUUGAGCCAAUAAUUGUUUAGUUAGACUUCUUUGUAUGUUGCAUUUGAAUAUUUAUUUCUUUGAUCUGUAACUAGUUUACUAUUCUAAUGUGUCUUAUUAUGCAGAUAUUUUUUUAGUGGGUAUGCUAAUUUUAUUUCUCCAAAUUGCCUCAUCAUUCUCAAGGGUGACGGCACUUUUAAUCUUUGCAUUCAUUUCAUGUUUUCUUCAGGUGGUUGAACUGUGAAGAUCUCAUGAAGAGCCGAUAAAUGUUUCAUUAGACUUCUUUGUAUGUCACAUUUGAAUAUGAAUUUCUUUGGUCUGUAACAAAACCACCGCUCUAAUAUGUAUUUUAUUAUGCAGAUGGUUUUUUGCAUGGUUGUGCCGAUUUUAUUUCUCUGCCUCAUCAUUUUCACAGUUGAAGGCACAUCUAAUCUUUAUUUUAUCUUUUCUUCAGGUGGUUGAACUGUGAAGAUUCCAUGAUUAAUCACAGUCCUUGGACAGUAAUGGAGGAUAAGAAGCUUUUGUUUAUCGUUCAAGAAAGGGGCAUUUACAAUUGGAUAGAUAUUUCAAUCACAUUGGGUACACAUAGAACACCAUUCCAAUGCUUAGUACGUUACCAACGGAGCCUUAAUCCUCAUAUUCUGAAUAAGGACUGGACAGAAGAUGAAGAUGCAAAGCUUCGUGUGGCUGUGGAGUACUAUGGCGAUAACUGGCAGAUGGUCGCUUCUUGUCUAGAAGGCCGUGUAGGUCCUCAGUGUUCUAAUAGGUAAGUCAUUUCUAAGUGCUUUCUUUGUUGAUUUCUCGGAUUAAUUAGUUAAUUUGUUGGAAGAACAAUGACCAACGGACAGUUGUAUCUAGGUACAGACAAAGGAGCAGCCUAGGUUCCUAAGUCCACAAAUGAAAAAUUAUACUUGCAAAACAUUCUUAUCUAUGCAUAUCAAAUGGAUAAAAAAUUCAGCAAUAUCAAUGACAUAGAAUAUGUUUUGAUUUGAUCAAUAAUAUAAAAGUAUCAGAUCAAGUAAACUUCUUGUAUGUAGUCAUACAACAGUGUCUAUCAGUGUCAAGCGUUUUGAUGAUUGUUGAAGUAGUUUGGUUGGUACUUCUAUGCAUAAAUGCUUUUUAUUGCAUUCAUUUUGUUUUAGUUUGUUGGGCACACAAAUUUUAUCUAAAUCUUUAUUUUUUUAAAUUAUCACUUGUUUUUACAUGGUAGAUAAUUUUGAAUGAUCUUCAACUUUGUAGCCUCCAUGAUUGAUUUUGAAGUGACAGGAUUAAGGUCUUAGUUCUCCUGAUUGGAUUGUAACUCAAUACUAUAGAAUAACUAAGUUGAAGAAAUUGAUCUAUCAUGUAUCAGAUGAGCUGCAGUUCUUUUAUGUUAAUUGUACAAAAUAUUGGCAUAAAUAAGGUACUACUAUUUGUUAGUACACCAUCCUAGGAACCAUGCUAUGCAUAUGCAAUAAAAAAGGCUUUUGUUUUCCAAUUGAUGAUAGUACACUCAAAGAGUUUUUAUAUAGCCUUGUCGAACUUCACGCAGUUGUUUAAUUGUGAUAGUAUUUGCCAUUUGGCAUUAAUGCUUUGUUAUGGGUUUUUGAUGACACAACUGGCAUAAGUAAAUAUAUGAUUUUCUAGCAAAUGCAGUAGUGACAGCCUGGGAACUGCUAAUGGAUGCAACUUUCUAGUAGUAUGAUAUGCUAACUAGUUGGAUUACCAUUAAUUGGUUAUAUACUUCCUUUUUGGACAUUGAGAUUUAUGAAGGGUGAUAGCUAUUUGAAUUCAGGGGUUAUGUUUCCAGUGACACUUCUUGGAUAUGUUAUUUUCUAGGAAUUGUUAUAUAUUCAUUUGUGGACUGGACGGUCAUACAGAUUGUAGUUGGUGUAAUCAAGGUUUGUAAGACUGCCUGAUACAGUAUGGUACGUAUAGUAUUUACUGGUCUGACAGCCUACCAGUAUGGAGACCAGGGUAAACCGGAUGGUACACCCAAUGCAUGGCUUGUACCAUCUAGUACAGGACCAGUGCCAUGCAGUAUGCCCAGUAUAGGGCUUGUACUGCCCAGUACAGGAUGGUACAGGCCCUGUACUGGAUAUUUUGCCUUUUGUUUUUUCAGUUUUCCAAGGUUUUUUUCUGAAACUCGGUAUAUACCGGCAUACUAACACUUCGUACACUGGUAUGGACCAUUGUAGAACUAGUCUGAACCCUGACUCGUAUAGUUCCGGUAUAUGAAAUUGUGAACAUUGAGUCUAGUAUAUCCUUCCCGUAACAUGAAACCUAUGACCUCUCUGUUUCAGGUGGAACAAAACUCUUAACCCUGAGAGGAAGAAAGUGGGAAGAUGGUCUGUGGACGAAGAUAAACGGCUGAAAGUAGCAGUGAUGCUUUUUGGGGCCAAAAACUGGAACAAGAUAGCUUGGUUUGCCCCUGGUCGCACACAAGUUCAGUGUCGAGAAAGGUAGCAGCAUAAUUUUCUUUACCUCCAGAUAAGACUAAUUUAUAAUGUCUGUUUGAUUCCAAGUUGCUCUCUCUGGUGACAGGUGGCAUAACUGUUUGGAUCCAACCCUAAAUUUAAAACCGUGGACUGCAGAAGAGGAUGCCAAGCUGUUGGAUGCAAGAGCGAUGCAUGGAAAUUGUUGGUCGAAAAUUGCUGCCUGCAUACCUCCACGUACUGAUAACCAAUGUAGGAGGUAUGAUCAUGAUGCAUUCCUACUAUUUCACCUUCAAAGACCUCUGUUGCUUGAAAUGAUGUUUUAUGUUCUGAGUCUUCUGACUCAUGGCUUCUUGUGAUUCUAUAGUACCUGAUUUUCUUGUGACUCAAAGAUAAUACUUUAAAUUCUGGGUAUACAGACGAUGGAAGAUUCUGCUUCCAGGAGAAUUGAUUUCGCUUCAAGCUGCAGCACAGAUAAAGAAGACUGCACUUAUAUCUAACUUUGUAGACCGAGAAAGUGAGCGACCAGCAAUAGGUCCAAAUGACUUUACACCACUCAUUAAUUCUAAUACUAUGUUUGACAAAAUUGGUGGUGCAAAAGUUAGGAAGAAAAGGCAAAGGUACUGUUCUUUGGACAUACAUUGGUUUUCUUUGGGUUAUUCUGUCUUCAUUCCCUUGUUCUUAGUUCUUAAUUAUAUAUGUUUAUUAAGCCUUGAAGAGUUUGCAUAUUUACACCUUGAAAAUAUUAUGAUCUGAUUAGGUUAUUAUUUUAAUAUUUAGUUUUCUUUUAUGACCAACUGGACAGUGAGAAUCAACCAAAUAAGUCCAGAAAGAAGCCCAGAAGAGUUUCAAUGGAGGAUCAGGAGACAAAUUGUUGCACUGAUGACCUGGCUCUUCCACCAAGCAUAGAAUCGAAUCCUACCAGUAGUCUGGGCAUUAGCAGGUCAGGGAAUAAAAGAUUGAGGUAUGAUUAAGACACUAGAUUUUAUGAUCAUAUUUUAUAUAAGAUUGUGCUUUCGUAUUCAAAUUAUUCUAUAUCCUUAUAAUUUUUAUUUGUCUUUUGUUUCUUUAUCAAUAUUUCAGGGAUGAUAGACCAAGAAAUCCAAGAGUUAAAUCCAGAAUACAUCUUAAGGAGAAUUCAACAAAGGAUUGCAUGACAAACACACCAUCUGUUGUAGCUCCAGCAGAUAUGUCACUUGUAGUUGCUAUAAAUUCGAAAGCUACAGAAAGUAUGAACAUCAGCAAGGCAAUGGAUAAAAGGUUGAGGUGAUGUGGAUCGACAUACUGAGCAUUGGGGUAGCAGAGUGGAAUGUAUCAUCUUUAAACGUAUGCUGACUGUAUCUGUUAAACGGUCUUUUUUCACAGUAAAAAUGAACAGAACAUGUGGAUCAAGUCCAGAUUUCCUAUUGAGGAGAAUUCAACAGCAGAUGGCCUAGCAAAAUUUUCAGUUGAUAUAGCUUCUGAUGAUUCACCCCUUGCCUUAUAUAUGAAUAACACUUCCGCUAGGAACUUCAGAAGGCAAAGGAAUAUAGCAAGGUUCUACUGACUAAUUAUUCUUGGCAUGUUAUUCUCUAACAUUUUGCUCCUUAUUAAUAUGUCACUCUGUCGAUGCUGCAGAGUUAAUACAUUAAAAGGCCAGGGGUUAGAUCCAGAAGCUCAUUUCAUGAAAAUUCUGUAGCAGAUGGCACACUGAAUUAUUCAGCUGAAGUAGUUAAUGCUGAUUAUUUCUCUACCCCUGUGAUUUUGUAUAAUUCUGAGAAUGAUUAUAUAGAAGGAAUAAGGAAGAAAGAUUCAAGGCUUAUGGAGUAAGAGACUCAGGAUUCUGCUAUAUUGUUAUGUUAUUUGUAAUUGUGCGUACUGCCUACUAAUUUAUUUUUGGAAAUUUACAGUGAUAAUUAGCCGCAGAUGUCUAAAGCUGAAGCAGAAAGAUCUCUUGAGGAAAAUCUUACAGCACUUGGCAUGGUCAAUGCUUCUACUGAACCUGUUCCUUCUGAUGUACAUUUAUCACCAAGUACAGAGGCUAAUACUCAUGCUACGGAGAGCAUUAGUGACCUAAGUAAGAAAACCUGAAGGUGAGGAGGAUCAAAUCUUUAUUAAACGUUCGGCUUACUGAUAUAGCAUCUCUUGUAGUUUGGCUAAAUUAAUUAUUCAAAAAUGGCAUAGCAUCUCUUGUAGUUACUGAAGAGGACACACGAACUGCUGAGGAUUCAUUUAAGGUAAGAGCUGUGUGUGGUGCUGGUGAUGAUAAUUAUUCAAAAGUGCUUGCUAACUGUAACAGUACAGUCUGUGGAGGCAAGUUAGAUGAAGACCUACUGAUUACUGAUGAGAGGGUUGUUCUGUUCAGGAAUGCAAUGGAUAAAGUAGUAGGCUUUCUUGAUGAUUACUGAUUCUGGAUUAUCUAAACUACUCAAAGACCACUCUGCAGAAUCCCUUGUUCAGUAUUAUCACAGACAACGCAACACUAUAUUUUCUGUAUUUUGUUAGGUAUGGGAAUCCUUGAGCCGUCUCUCUUGCCUCCAUGCUUAUAUAUGACAUAAAGCUUCAGUUAUACUGUAUGUCACUGCAGAUUGCUGAAAUUAGUUCUCAAAGUUACAGACUUCUCAUACUCUCUUAAACAAGUGGGAAACCAGGUAGAUAAUUUCUACUGGCCUGUUGAGUCUUUGCUUGUAAUCAACACUGGAUUCAAGCAUUUGCUUUCUACACAUAUAGAAAGUGUUUUGCACUAGAACUGAUAUUUGCUGUCAGUUGCAUGCAGACAGGAUCGAUGGAACACCACCCUCUAUACGUUCCCCUAUUUGAUUUGGUUCUACACAAGUUUGCUAUUUAGGUACGUCUAUGGGUAUUAUAGACAAAGCUGCGCAUGUAAUGGAAUUUUGCAAUAGAAGUACUCGGAGGCUUUUUUGUCUUUAUAAUUAUUUUUCUUGAAGUGAGGGCCUUUGUCUGUGAUGUCUUUUCUUGAUGAGAUCUAUCAAAAAACGCAAAAGGAAACUCAUGUUAUUGGUUUCUUUCCAAUUGUUUGGUGUACUGAGUCAUGAUUUUAUUAGAGCCACAUUUUUUUUAUGUUCCUUUCAUUUGUUCCCAUUUGUUGAUGAAUGUGAUGUAAUAAACACCAGAUUUUUUUUAUUAAAGUGGAACUAUAUUCUAUGCUUUAAAUUCAAUUGUCAUUUUAGAUGAUUUUUUUCCAAUGUCUUGGUAUCAAUGUCUUGGUAUCAAAUUUUUUUCCAAUGUACCGUACCGAUAAAUUCGGUGUCUGCCAUACCGAAUCGUACUGUCCGGUACGAACGUACCGAUCUAAUAGGCUAACAGUACGUGGAUCGCUCGGUACUAGUCCGUACUAUAGCAGUGCUAUAGUGCUCGGUACACCUGGAUGUACCGCUCGAUACACCGUACCGAUACCGAGCCCAGAUCGAAAUAUCGGUACGGUAUAAUAUUGCGAACCUUGUUCACAAGGAUUAUUGUUUAUAAAUAAACUUGAAAGUUUCUAACUAAACUGCCAGUUAAAACAAUAGGUCAAAUAACUCCUCCAUAAUUAGUAUGAAAUAACCGUAGUUAUUUUACUUUUGAAAUAAAUUGUCAUCACAGUCAAAAAAUUGAAACCACACAGACACAAUUAGAACUAACAACUAUACUUGCCCAGCAUCAACUAUUAAGUCUACAAAUAAGAACAAAAUUUUACAUUAAUCAUUCAAAGAUAAGAGGCUGAAUAGCUCAAAAUCUCUCGAUCAUUUGUGUUGACUAAGUUCUACUGGCCAGUGUAGAACCUCCUCUCAGCAAUUUCUGAACGUAUAGCUCCCCUGCUCUGUAGGAAGACCGAACCUAAAAUACCAUCAAACACAAAGAGUGUGAAUUACCAAGAAAAAGAUAGUACACUGCUUUACAAGAGACGGUUUAUUACAACACCAGAGUCUAGCAGAAUGAUUCCACAAUCAACCUAUAAGAGCACAUAAACUAACUCAGUGUGCUGAGUUAAAGAAUUAUCUGGAUUUGCAUUCCAAUUAUAAGGGGGUCUGAAUGCCAUCUUAUCUGAGUUGGUAAAAGAGGAGAAAACAAAGGAUUUGAAUCUGGUGUAUUUUAUGUUAAACAAUGUGAUCCUUGUACUCAUGAAAGAACUUAUAACAUCAUAUGUGGUCGACAUCAUAAAUCAAUGCAUGAUUACUCGAGGAUUUUACCAGGCACGGCACCUGCGAGUGUUCUCGAACGGUGAACAUCUGUUUUUAGUUAGUGUCACAAGAUGAAACUUUUAGGCUAAACUAAACCAGCAUAAUAUGAUGUCAUCAAAGAAUCAAAGAAAAGCAGGAAUCUACAUUGCUCAUCUACUAAGUGCAACAUAAAUUCCCAAAUCACACUAAACGUCCUCGUUGAGAGACAAGACCAAACAUAAUUACCAGUGGUCCACUAGCAACAUAGCGGAAACCAGCAGAUUCUCCAUAUUCUUUCCAGAAGGCAAACUUCUCAGGCGUCACAUACUCUUUGACCGUUAGGUGUAGUGGUGUCGGCUGUGAAAAAUCUCAGAACCAUAAAUGUCAACAAAAAAGAAAAAAAAAAUCCAAAAUGCUAUUGCUGUCUAACCUGCAAGUACUGCCCCAAUGUAAGAAUAUCAACACCAAUGGCCCUUAAAUCAGCCAUUGCUUCCUUUACCUCCUCAUCUGACUCUCCAAGACCUAGCAUGAUAGAAGACUUUGUAACCAUCCCAUCCUUGCAUAGCUUUGCAUGCUUCAGGACAUUUAAACUCUGCUCGUACCUGCCAAACAGAAAAAAGCUAAUGCGAUCAGAACAUGCAUGUAUUCACACAUGCGACAAAACUGUGGACUGUUUCUCCUUCAAAUUAGUAUGCCUUGAAUGGAUACUAGUGCUGGGAAAAGCUUCUCAUUGAAAGAGUAGGUUAUUUCAAAUAUCAUAAAGAAGUACUGUUGUAAUUUGUAAUUUUGCUUUGGUUGUGCUUAGGGAUGUUGUAAAGUGAGAUUGGAAGAGCUUUAUUACCUAUGGGGUUAACUUUUGAGCUAUUCAUUGCACAAUAUAAGAAGGAAAAAUUGAACUUCAGUGUCGAAUAGAUGACUCUCAAUAUGCUUCUUACCCUGCCCGAGGAUCUCUAACAAUUCUUUGCAACCGCCUCACGGUCUCAAUGUUGUGGGCAAAUACGUCUAGGCCAGAAUCUGCCAACAGUGAGACAGCCUCAAGAUCUCCUCGAAAAUCAGAAGUUAGACAUUCGACCAAAAUAUCGGGUUUAAGCUUCUGCAACACAAACGAUGUCAUAACCUAGUGAGUUUGUAAUGAAUAAAAGAAAAAAGGAUUUACCUCAUUGGCGUCCAUAAUCAAAGGUACAGGUAUAACAAACUUAUCAGUAAAUAAAGCUGAAUAUAAAGAAACUACAAAAGCUUAACAAAAAGAUAAACCAUGAACCUUCAAAGCUUUGACUGUCUGAGCAAAAUGGCCACUUCCGCCAUCAGGUAGGUCAUCACGAUCUACACUUGUAAGCACAACAUAGUCCACCCUGCCAAACAUGUACAAAUAGAAGGUCCAUGAGCCUUUGUGCAUAAUAAUCGAUGUCUACAAUUCGACAAUUCACAAAGUAAGUUAUAAGAGAUCUAAGCAUACUAGUUCGCAACAAGAUCUUGAUCUAAAAGUAUCACUAGGAUGACACAAUCAAGCACUUCCUACAACUUUGACAGAAACAGAAAAUGCCUACCCCCAAUUUGCAAUUGCCUUAGCUGUGUUCUGCGGCUCCAUAGGAUCCGGUGGUGCCGGGUUUCUGCUGGUUUUCACCGCACAAAAUCUACAGCCACGGGUGCAGGUAUCCCCUAGAAGCAUAAUCGUCGCAGUCGCAAUACCAUCCCCUUCGCCACCUGCUCCUCCCCCUCCAUUCCAACACUGCAGUUAGAACACCAAUCUUUGAUGAGUCAAGUAGUACACAGUGCAAGUAUACUAGAGACAUAUGUCUCCAACAUAACAUAUGAACAGAGUGCACUACCAGUGUAGCAUUACAAUAGGAUAUAUCCUUGGAGCCACUUCUAUAAAUUACAUCCAAGAACAUUUAACGACAAAAAGAUCAUUAAAUAAGCCAUAUUAUGCUGUCAUCUAUAAGCCCUACUUUUCAACUACAGGCAGUCUUUAGCAGUUUAAAGAUCUGACUACUUCAUGCAAGUCGAGGGUUGAAUGAUCCUAGAAAUAACAAUAUCAACAUAUUUAAGCACGAAAUGCACGGAUUGAAUUUCUAAGCACGAAAUUAUUGAUUGCUUGAAAAGACUAAUUCGCGUAGUUUACGUCAAAACUUGGACCUCUCCAAUGUUGGGGCACUGCGCCUCCACGCAGACGGUGUUCAGCUUCAACUCCGCAAGCGACUCCUGCAGCCUCGCGUACUUCUCCCCAUGCGGCGCCCUCUGCCGCAGCCACUCGGGCUUCCUCACCGUCGGAUCCCGGCCGGUGUGCAGCCCCAUUCCGCCCGGGUACGGCCCUGCCGCCGCCGACGACGACGAUUCGAACAGCUUCGACGGCGCCGGAUUAGGUUUCGGAUCCGCCCUGUUCGAAGCAUCCACCGCUUCAGAUCGAACAACGACGUUCAAAUUCCGGGAGCUCUUCGACCAAGGCUUGAGGGAACCGAUCGGAAUCGGCGGGGCGAAAGGGCUGGCGAGCGAUUUCUGAAACAUUUUCGCCGAUUGAGCUCCGAAAUUGAUCGAACAAGAAAGAAAGCUCCCGUUCUUGAUCAUUUAAAUCUUUGGUGAAAUCGAACCGUAAUUCCAUAAAUAGGCUUCUUGUGGAGGCAAAUUGCGGAUAUGUACGUUUGCGUUUAGUUCGUUCGAUCAACAUUGAACGGCUAACGAUCGGAAUAACUCGCGUUUAAUCCCAUGGCAUGGAAGUUAUUUAGGGGAAUUUGAGAGGUCGGGGCGACGAAACCUAUGCUGGGAACAGCCUUUUGAAAGAGAUACCUUUUCUACUUAUCUUCUGCGACCCCAACAGUUACCCUCGUAGCGACUAGCAAGACGGCGUGGGGCCAACAUAAGUCGCUCUGUCUCCGGGGUUUGGUGAGUCGGGUGUGAAGUGCAGCGAGUACAAGAAGCACUGGUGUUUUGGAAAACACUGUUUCCUGCGUUUCACAAUGUUAGCAAUUUGAAGGUUUUAAAAAACACUUGUUUUACUGAAACUUCUAAUAAUCUUUUUUACCGAUCCUUCGGAAGAAAGAUCUCAGCAUAAAUCUCCCUCUAAUAAACUUUAAUGAGACACAAAAUACGGUGUCAUGCACUCCUACUUCAGUGUCUAAGACUUAAUUAUGAUACAAGGGCAGUAAACGAAGAGAUUUGGAAGACUACCUCUGCACUGUGUUUGUGCAGGAGUUUGGAAGACCACCACGACAUGCUCAUGUGGUGAAUCUUUGGAUGCCAUUAAUAUGUAUCGGUGGCGCAAAAAUUCCCCGAUUUCCCUUCAGAACAUACUAAUUUCAUUAUGCUCCCAUCACAGGGAAUGCAACAAGCAGAUACUGCAUAAGCUGAUAGAGCAUGAAAGCUUUAUAAGUGUCGGAAAUGACCCAUACAAGAACAGAACAGAAACAUGAGUGCCGUGCUCAUCAAAGAAAGAUAUAAUUGACCCAUACAGCAAACAAAAACAGUUGAGAGCAAAGCUCGAGUGAUGUACAGAACAGAACCGCGACACCAACUAAAGAGCUCGUGUGUUCUCGGCCAAUGUAAUGUUCUCCCUGAUUCCAAGGUCAUGAAAAUAAUCCAACAGGAACAGCGACAGAAAGGCCUUUUAACAAUGCAUCAAAUAAAUAGAGAAUGUUACUCAGUUGAUUGAUCUAGAAAUCUCCAUGGAAGAUUUAUGGUACACUUUUGCCACCAAGAUUAUGAACAAAGACAAAACUUUUGAACACUAAAAUAGAACCAUUACCACCAUUUGCAAGUAGCAUGUGGUGCUUUCUUAUAAAUAUAAAGUGGCAUCCGCACGGCCUUGAAGGCUCGACCCACAAGAUUACAGAAGAGAAAGAACCUCGCAGCUCCUCAUGUGAGGACCAGGAAUCUGUAACACACGAGAGGCAUCCACAAAUCCUUUAAGCUAAGGAGUUAUCCUCAUUAAAAUGGCACGGAGAACCAAGAUAGCAUCAAAAUCUAGCUCCCUGGAAGAAAAAGUAGGUGCAAAUCCAACAAAUGUUCUGAUCCAGUUGCAACAUCGACAAAAUACUUACAAAUAUGCUGACACUAUUCUGUUUCCAAGAUAGAAGAUGGAAUUGCCACAGAAAAGAGAGUGAAAAGACUGAAGUUUAUCAGAAAUCUACAGUUGUAGGUAUCAUAAGCUACCAGCAUGUUCAGAAAGGAAAAAAAAACAGCAUGCUUCAGGUAAUCAAGGAGUAUGUAUAUGGUUUGAUACUGAAGAAAUAAUGUAGAGAUGAAAUCACAUAAGUGCUAUUUGAAGACAUUUAAUUUAUCUUUACGAGCAUCAACCAGGAACUGAUUCAGAACUUUCAGGCCUGCUAUUACCUCCAUGAGUACUAACACGAACAACAGGCAUGGAUCUCUGAGCAAAAUCAAGUAACACCUUACGCUGGUGGUCAUUCGUGUGAGGAAGACUUGCAUGCAACAACUCAACCGGCAUCUCCCUGCUAAUAGCUCUGGUUGCCUCAGAUCCCACAACUGCAGUGCUUGGUGCCUGCAUGAGUAACAUUUGCAUUAUACUGUCAUAUUUACUAAGACAGUACUUAGUAAGAAGCCCAAAGAAAGCAUCGAACGAUGCCUGCCAUAAAGUUCGACUAGAGACAGUAUAAUUGUUUGCAGCAUGAGGGUCUGUCAGAAGAUCUGUUGCUCGAUCCAGAACAGACUUUAUAAUUAUGCUAGCUCCAUCACCAGCUGAACUUCCAAGAGGGCGAAGAGGUGGUUGUUCAGAUGAGCAGACCACUGCAGCCAGGCAAGCACUGAGUGCACUAAGUUCCAUGUUGCACGCACAUAAAGACACAGCCUUGGCCAGAUUGGUUGUUGUUUCUGCUGCACUGGAGUCUGAAGGUAAACCACCGAAUAAAAAUCUAAGGUGGCGGAAAAUGGCCAUGCAGACUACCCGAGUAAGAUGACUUCCAGGGAUUAGAAGGUGAAGAUAGCGACAUAGGAGCUUCCGGCCCUUAGGAAGAGUAACUAUGCGUAGGAAAACAAGGUCAUCCUUUGGGGCAAAACCUACUGAAUGAUCAGCUUUACCAGGGCCAAGGGGAUCAACAAGCUGAAGUGAUGCAGCAAUCACUUCAAUCAGAACUUGCCUUCUGCGCUUCAGUUGCAACCCACCAUCUUGUGGUUGGUUAACCUGUAACACCCGAUCAAUAUCAUCUACAUCAAGAAGAAGGCUAAUACAAUCUUCAGUGGUGAUUCUAGCAGCCAACAUUGUCUCUUGUUCAAGGGGCUUUAUAGAAGACUUCCGAUCAUCACCUGAUGAAGAUGGUAUAUCAACCUCAAGGAGAGGGCGAGGCCUACGUAUUGAAGAGAAUUGAACCCUCCCAAGUGCAUCGACCUGAAAAUAUGCAUGUGAUUCAUUACUACCACGUGACCGUGAUGGAGGAUCCUUUAUUGCUGUUGGACAGAAGUUGUGCUUCAGUCUUGAACCAGCUGACUUUUUUGCAAGACAAGCUUGAUAGUAAUAGUCAUCUACAUAAGGAUCAGUGACAUGAGUUGCUGAAUGCUGCAUCCUCAAAAUACUUCCUAUCUCUUCGGCUGACAUGUACUUUGAUCUAAAUUGACAACUGCUGUCAGUCUUCAGGCUGCCAGUUUCAGAAGAUUGUUGAGACAACCAUAUAUUCUGUCUUCCCCUAUGAGAUGAUUUCGAUCUAUGGUCUCUCGAAUUAGACAUGCCAAUGACUGCAUCAAAUUUUUUCAUUUUUCGAGGUGGGGGGUUAUGGAGGCUGAAUAUAUUAGGUUGCAAGUGCAGGAAAUGGGUGAGAGAUGGCUGGACCUGCUGUAAUCUCUGAUGUUGCUGCUGUGACAAUAUCCGUGAAGGAAUUAAACCAUUGGGUAGAGGUAACUGUUGCUGCAACAAGUUAGACAACUGGCUGGGAUGUUCCCGUGAAUAAAGGCUAGUUUGAUUCAACCAAUGGUUCCUUGGAAUGUUGAUUGAUGAAAUGCCGUGAGGUGUAAACUGUGAAUUUACACCAUAGUGAAGCCCAUGAGAUAAUCCCCCCAUGUGAUGUUGAGGACCAGAAUAAGGGGAUGGAGCAGGUAUCUGCAAUGCAGCAGUAACAGAUGGCAAGCUUGAAUGACGUGUGAGGUUGAACGAAGGAUAACAUUGUCCACCAGGCGGAGGAUACGAAGUAAAAGAUGACUUGGGUACAGGAUUUAGUUCACUUGAGUGUUCUUGCUGUUGUUGCUGAGGGUAGGAGGAUGUUCUGUACAAUGGUUUUAGUUCAGAAAACUGAGACAAAGUGGCAUCAGGUUGUGACCACCACCUUUUGCCUUCCUGAACAUCUUCAGCAUCUAAUAUUUCCUGAUCAAUCCAGCUUGGAAAAUCAGCCUCCUGUGCCCAGUCUGCAGUAGAAGAACCUGAGUAGUUGACAUAUAAAACUAACAUUAGUUUUAAACUUAACCAAAAAAAUUAGUGUUUUCAUUCUUUCAUAACUAAACUAACAUUAGCAGUGUGAUUAGUUUACAAACAUAAUAAUGUAAUGUCAAGUGUCACAGCAAACACAGCAUAAUACAUGUAUAGCAGAACAUAUACAACACCAAGAAGCCAUACAGUCCCAACAUUAGAUGAUCAUAUCAAGAGAUAGAUAUAAUUUUAAUAUGAAUCAAUGAACAAGCCAGGAAACAAUGCCCACUUUAACCAUGUGAGAAAUUUUAAAAACUUGACCAAUCUAAUCAUAAAGGAAUAAAAUGGAAGAAAAAAAGCAGAUGAUGGUAAACCAGUGUAACAUGGAGGUCUCAUAAUGAUGCUGCAAUAAAGAUCAACAACAGGUCAAAUUGUAGAAUCAAACAAAAUGAAUAAAACUGAUUCAGAAUGCUAGAAAAAGUAAAAUAACAAGUUAAUCAUGUGAAUAUAACCAAAAUUUUUCAUCGAGACACACACAUGUUUACACAAGUACGUGUAAACUUUACUGCAUAAACAAAAAUAGAAACUUAAGCAAUCAAGUAGACACAACACCAGCCUAGCCAAAGAUCAAUACUUGACCAUUUAGUUUGAUAAAGAUCAAUAUUUUAUACUGGAUAUACACCAUAUC